rnacentral:rRNA from 1 species
UACUGCCAGGACUUGGAACCGGGAGAGGUAAGAGGUACUACAGGGGUAGGAGUGAAAUCUUGUAAUCCCUGUGGGACCACCUGUGGCGAAGGCGUCUUACCGAGAACGGGUUCGACGGUGAGGGACGAAAGCUGGGGGCACGAACCGGAUUAGAUACCCGGGUAGUCCCAGCCGUAAACGAUGGCUCGCUAGGUGUCCAGGCAUGGCGCGACCGUGUCUGGUGCCGCAGGGAAGCCGUGAAGCGAGCCACCUGGGAAGUACGGCCGCAAGGCUGAAACUUAAAGGAAUUGGCGGGAGAGCACAACAACGGGUGGAAGCCUGCGGUUUAAUUGGACUCAACGCCGGACAACUCACCGGGGGCGACAGCAAUAUGUAGGCCAAGCUGAAGACUUUGCCUGAAUCGCUGAGUAGAGGUGCAUGG